rnacentral:rRNA from 1 species
UACAGAGGGGGCAAGCGUUAUUCGGAAUCACUGGGCGUAAAGCGCACGUAGGCGGGUCUUUAAGUCGGGGGUGAAAUCCUGGAGCUCAACUCCAGAACUGCCUUCGAUACUGAGGAUCUCGAGUCCGGGAGAGGUGAGUGGAACUCCGAGUGUAGAGGUGAAAUUCGUAGAUAUUCGGAAGAACACCAGUGGCGAAGGCGGCUCACUGGCCCGGUACUGACGCUGAGGUGCGAAAGCGUGGGGAGCAAACAGG